GCUUGUCUCAAAGAUUAAGCCAUGCAUGUCUAAGUAUAAACGACUUUAUACUGUGAAACUGCGAAUGGCUCAUUAUAUCAGUUAUAGUUUAUUUGAUGGUCCUUACUACUUGGAUAACCGUAGUAAUUAGAGCUAAUACAUGCGUCAAAACCCGACUCCUGGGAUUUAUUAGAUGGAAACCAAUGCGGGGUUGUAUUUAUUAGAUGCAUCAUUCCAGUUUCUGCCCUAUCAGCUUGGAUGGUAGGGUAUUGGCCUACCAUGGCUUUAACGGGUAACGGAGAAUCAGGGUUCGAUUCCGGAGAGGGAGCCUGAGAAAUGGCUACCACAUCCAAGGAAGGCAGCAGG
rnacentral:rRNA from 1 species